rnacentral:rRNA from 1 species
CGUGGGACCCAAGCGUUAUCCGGAAUUACUGGGCGUAAAGAGUUGCGUAGGUGGCAUAGUAAGUCGGUAGUGAAAGCGUGAGGCUCAACCUCAUAUACAUUACUGAAACUGCUAAGCUAGAGCAUGAGAGAGGUAGCUGGAAUUCCUAGUGUAGGAGUGAAAUCCGUAGAUAUUAGGAGGAACACCGAUGGCGUAGGCAGGCUACUGGCUCAUUGCUGACACUAAGGCACGAAAGCGUGGGGAGCGAACGGGAUUAGAUACCCCGGUAGUCCACGCCGUAAACUAUGGAUGCUAGCUGUUAUCAGUAUCGACCCUGGUAGUAGCGAAGCUAACGCGUUAAGCAUCCCGCCUGUGGAGUACGAGCGCAAGCUUA